GGAUUACAAAGAUCAAUGUUUGGUUGAAAAUUGGAAUAUGCAGGUGGUGGCUGCGGGUGCAAACCCUGUUUUGAUUACCAGAGGAAUUGAGAAGACCUCUAAGGCUCUUGUUGCCGAGUUGAAGAAGAUGUCAAAAGAGGUUGAAGAUAGUGAGCUCGCAGAUGUAGCAGCUGUAAGUGCAGGAAACAACUACGAAGUAGGCAACAUGAUCACGGAGGCAAUGGCUACGAUCAUUGUAAUAUUCAGGUUGGAGCUGACAUUGUUAAGAAAGCAUUGAGCUACCCAUUGAAGUUAAUUGCCAAGAACGACGGUAGCCUUGUCAGCGAAAAGGUACUCUCUAGCGACAACCCUAAACACGGCUACAACGCUGCAACUGACAAAUACAAAGAUUUUAUGUCUGCAGGAAUCAUUGAUCCAACCAAAGUUGUGAAAUGUUGCUUAGAGCAUGCUUCAUCUGUGGCUAAGACAUUCUUGAUGUCUGAUUGUGUGGUUGUGGAGAUCAAGGAGCCUGAAUCAGCAGCUCCUGCUGGUAACCCCAUGGAUAAUUCAGGUUAUGGCUUCUAAGUUAGCAAUGUGAACAGAGUAGUCCCUGAGGAAGCAAAAGCCAUGCCUUAGUUCUUUAUUUUCUGAUCUGAAACAUCCUUGAUCCUAUGUAAAGUAUAUGUUUUUCCGAUGACUUGAAGAACAUAUAAUGUGGUUUUUGUGUUCUCUGAAGCAAGAAUAAAACAAGUCUUUGAAUAUCAACACGUCAUGGUCGAGAAAAGAUUACAUGAUUUGCAAGUUGGUAUGAUCAACAGAUAUUAGUGAUACACUAAUUAGUGAUGCGGACAGUAUAUAAUUUUUCGUUUAUUACAUUAUUUCAAGAUGUCAGUUUGGUGGAUGAAGAAACAGAAAGUGAUCUUCCUAGAAGUUUCCAACAUUUUCGUUUAUUCUUUUAUCUAGUAAAAUGAUUUAUCGAGGAGAGAAAUACUACUAAACUACAUUUUCAAAUUCAAAUCAUACUUUAAAAGCUGCAGAGUGGUCAGUGACUCCCUCUUAUCUUCAUAACCUUUUUGGUGGUUUUGUUCAUAUUCUUUUUUCACAAAACAACAGUUUUGAUAACAAAAUUGAGAGUAUUUUUGAUGUACGUGUAUAGCAACUUUAGAGUCAAUCAUACUUCAAAAAAUUGUUAAGUUAUAUUUGUGACGACUCUAUUAAUCAUAACCUAAAGUUGAUAACAAGUUAAAGGGGGAAAGAGAAAGAGAUAGUGCUACUUACUUGUCUUCCUUGAAGCUACUUUCUUUGCUAUUUUAAUUUGGUUUUAAUCCAGCAACUCGGUGUUAUUGAUGAGAAAAUUUUCCAAACAAAUUUAGAGCA